rnacentral:tRNA from 1 species
UCCCCGGUGGUCCAGUGGGUAGGACUGGGUGCUUUCACCGCGGUGGCCUGGGUUCAAUCCCUGGUCAGGGAA